GCCAACCGGAUUUUCCUCUGCGGCAGAUUGCGGUACACCUGCCCC
rnacentral:sRNA from 1 species